GGACAACAGCCGGAAACGGCUGCUAAUACCGCAUAAGCCUGCGGUGCCGCAUGGCACAGCAGGGAAAACCACGGUGGUACAGGAUGGGCCCGCGUCUGAUUAGUUAGUUGGCAGGGUAACGGCCUACCAAGACGAUGAUCAGUAGCCGGCUUGAGAGAGUGGACGGCCACAUUGGGACUGAGACACGGCCCAGACUCCUGCGGGAGGCAGCAGUGGGGAAUAUUGCACAAUGGGGGGAACCCUGAUGCAGCAAUGCCGCGUGGGUGAAGAAGCACUCCGGUGCGUAAAGCCCUGUCAGCAGGGAAGAAAAUGACAGUACCUGACCAAGAAGCCCCGGCUAACUACGUGCCAGCAGCCGCGGUAAUACGUAGGGGGCAAGCGUUAUCCGGAUUUACUGGGUGUAAAGGGAGCGCAGGCGGUAUGGCAAGUCAGAUGUGAAAACCCAGGGCUCAACCCUGGGACUGCAUUUGAAACUGCCAUACUAGAGUGCCGGAGAGGUAAGUGGAAUUCCUAGUGUAGCGGUGAAAUGCGUAGAUAUUAGGAGGAACACCAGUGGCGAAGGCGGCUUACUGGACGGUAACUGACGCUGAGGCUCGAAAGCGUGGGGAGCAAACAGGAUUAGAUACCCUGGUAGUCCACGCUGUAAACGAUGAAUAAUAGGUGUCGGGGUACAUAAGUACCUCGGU
rnacentral:rRNA from 1 species